GAGUGGAGAUGAUGAACAGUAAAUUAUUUCCUUAUUGGUUUGAUUACCAAUAUGAUGGCUAAAAUUUUAUUAGCUCUAUCUGAUCGCUC